AGUAAUUGUAGGUUGGAAUGUACAUGCAGAAACUGCUAGGUAGCAUAGUGCGGUUGUACAGUGUACUACCUAUGUGACUCCAUUUUCAAGAGCAUCGCUUGCGUUCCUGCUAGAAAAUGUAGAAUCACACGGCCUGCACGCUUCACGAAAUUCGUUGUAGCUUGUUACUUUUCUGGUGUAAAUGUAACAAUUGGAACUUGGUGGUGUCAAGACAAAGUUGCUGACUGUUCUCCCCCAGAAAUAUCGAAUUUUACAUGCAUGUGGAAACAACAGUCGACAAAAUACAUUGCCCUUUCCGUAAGUUCUGUCACACGAGAAACUUCUGAUGUUGAGAAGCAACGAACACCGUGAGUGGAGUGCAGACACAAAGGGGUCAAAGAUGGCACCACCGAUGUCCAAGGGAUUGGCUGGCGUACCUGCUUGAACUCUCAUCGUCAAGACUGGAUGCACUCAUCUUAGAUUAGGCAAAUCCAUGGCAACAGCGUCUUAGCAAGUCUUUGUAACUUGUUUAGUGAACAGUUCUUAACUGAAAGUAUUGGCGUUUAAUGCUUUAUUCCUUUGUGAUAAAUGGGUUAUUCUAGCAUUGAACAAAUUAACCCAAUUUACACAAAACACACUUCAAAUAAUGGAGGCUUAUUGGCUUCGUUAAUUGCAUUGAAGACAACAGCAUUGAUUUAUCAACCACUCAAAUCCACUCUGUGAUUGAAACUAUUUGUUGCCAUGGAUUUGCUCAAACUCGGAACUACAUGUAUUACGCUAAGAGUUGAUUUUUUAAACCAGGCACAUGUAGUUUCAUGCCAAGAAAUUGGUCAAUAUACCUUGCUCUCACUGACCAAAUACGGGGUUAUUUCCAUGUACGUAGCCCUCUAUCUCCAUUUAGUUGAGAUGGUUCAAUUUUAGGACUUCUUUUUAAUUGAAGUGCAUUUUUAUUGUCCUGAUAAGCAUUGAAACUUGAAAUUCAAACAUGUGCCUGGUUCUUUUUUUUUUCUGAAACGGAUUAAUCAACGUGUGUGAAUGAACUUGAAAUCUACACCAGCACAUCAUAUUUGUUUGCUGUUUAACCCUCCGAUGCAAAGAUGCAUUCUUUACCCCUAUAAUGUCUCUGUACUUGUGGCAAUUCAAGUGGAAGGAAUUUGUGGCUGACUUACACAGCAAAAGAAAUUAAGGAGGAAGUUUACAGUGAAAUUAAAUUGUUGGAGCUGCGUAUAAAAUUUAUGCAUUACUUUUGUUUCACUUUAGUGCUUGAUUACAUGCAGCAUAAAUAAUGGAGAGAAAUACAUGGCACUUGUAAUCGCAAUCUGAAGUUAAAAUGUGUGACAUAAAAAGGCAAUGAAUUUCAGUAAGUUAUCAUAGAUGAAUAUGUACAUUGCAUGGUUUAGUCUAAAUUGUUUUACAUUUACAAAUAUUGCUCCUUGUACCAAAGACCUUUUGUCUAGCUUCUCUGCCAUUUCUUUUAUAUCCAUUUUUCUAUAUCUUUAGGCUCCUUUACACCAACUUAGUUAAUAGCUUUAAACCUUUUUUUCAUCAUAUAUGUAUGAUGUGCUGGUGUAGAUUGUCCUUGUGUUAAUUGCUGAAUUAAAAAUAUGUGUUUUAUGGCGUGUCUUUCGUGAUCAUUGUGCCUGCUGCCUAUUUUACAAGUUUGCAGAGCAAUUUGCCAUUGUCUUUAACAAAAACAAAUGAAAUACACCUGCUAUAGAUCUGCAGGAACCAGCCAAUUUCUUUCUAUUUCAUCCAUCACCAUGUUCAAUUAAAAAUAGUGCAGAAAUUAGCUAAAACAGGCAGCAGGCGUGUUCGUUCAAUUUGGUUUACUUAUUGCUUGGAGGGGGGGCAGAGUUGAAGGAGUUUCUUUUCUCUAAAUGCACACGACUGCACCACUGUUGAAUAAGAGCGCCCUCAAGCUAGGUGGAGUGUGCAUAUUGAAAGUAUCAGGUAAAGUGAAAGAGCGCCCUCAAUAAACUUAGUUUUUUGGUGCAGCGUGCAAGUUAGUUCAAAUGCCAGUUGAAGGACUGUUGGAUGAAAGGGUGCCCUCAAUCUCGUGUUACAGUUUUUUCUGCGCAUGUACUGAACUGCUGUUGAUGAGAGCGCCCUCAAGCUAGGUGGAGUGUGCAUGUUGAAAGUAAUCAUGUAAAGUGGAAGAGCGCCCUCAAUACACUUGGUUUUUUGGUGCAGUGUGCAAAUUAUUUUAAAUGCCAGUAGUUGAAGGACUCUUGAUGAAAGGGCGCCCUCAAUCUAUUUUGAAAUAAAAAUUUUUUAUUUGAACUUGAACUUGACUUUGAACUUGGUCUUGAACUUGACAUUGAACUUGAAAAGAGCGACCAAAAAAAAAGCACCCUAGCGCAUACAAGUCCCCCCUGGUGUGGGCCACGUGUUCCCCGCCCACAGACGCCAACAGGUCCAGUGAGUUGCCCACUGCAUUAACUCGCAAUCAGUUGUUCUUGAUGUAUACGAACUCUCCUGAUCAAAAAUGUCUAAGUUGACUGCAACAUAACAAGGAUCGCAUUAACUCCAACAACUAGUUUACUUUCUACGUAGUAGAUGUAUAUGUAUUUCUACAACUCCAAAACGAUUGCAAAUAAUGGUACAAUCUCACACCUAUGUGCAACUGCAUCACUUGGGUAUUUUCAGAAUGUUCCCAGUUGCAUUGCAGAAUUUGAUCUAAAUGAAAUAAAACAUUUACAACAUGGCUACGUUCUGCUGGUUUUCCCAAAUGUUUUGAAUAUCUGCUAGACUUUACGGCAGUAAUGAUGGUCCUGAACUUGUGACAAACUUCUCAAGUUAAACUCCUGAAACCAAGCCAUUUGUUUCACCUACAUGUUUCAUAACUUUCCAGAGUUUUCUCUGUCUCGGUAACUAAAUUACUUUUCAAAAUGAAAUGUGUGACCUCAUCUGCUGCUGAUCAUUUUUACAAGCCGCAGUUUCAAGGCCAAAUGACGGCAAAAAUUUGUUGCGAGUUUUUCAAGAAUGUUUUUGGGGGGUAGACAGUGAUAAAAUGUAUCAGAUAUAAAGACCUAUAAAGGGAAAAAAAUUAGUACUUCUCAAAAGCCAAAAAACUUUGGUUGGGAAGUAAUUUUUUAUUUCAUACACUGCUGUUCAUAUAAAGCACUGCCUUUUCGAUGUCUGAAGUAUAUAAAUUUGAGAAGUUCUGAUUUGAAAACAAUUCACCGACUAGUCAAAAGGCGCACAAAAUUGAGCCAUUACAAAAUCCUUUUCAUUGUCUCAAGCAAGGCAUUUAGUUUUCGGGGUUUUUGUAGAGCAUCUUCAUCAGGUUGUCAAGAUUUCUGAAUUUUCCAAAACUGCACAAGGAAAUAAGCCUUGUUAAAUAACGAUUCUAUUUUUUCAUCUGAGUUUGCACUUGUAGUUGUUUCUUUUUGCACUGACCUGAGCCCUUUUUGAUGUUCAAAAAUACUGCUAAAUGGUUAUCAGGUUGCCGCAGCAGCCAACGUUUAAUCAUUUGGUGAUCUUAUGUGUGACACAAGCAUUUUUUCAAACUUCCAAACAAAUGGGCAGAGUUUUUUUCUUUACUCGGUAGCCAAACUCUUCUCUACUCAAUGGAAGUGGUUUUUAUUCUAAACAUGUCCCAGUUUUUGUUGGGAAUGUUCCAGUUUUACGGGUUUUUUUGUCAGAUUGCAGAGCAAUCAAAAGUUGUUUUUCCCUUGCCCAACUUUUUUCAGUUGAAGUCCCAAUGUGCCCUCUUGAAUAUCCAUGUUCCUCUGAGCCUUGAUGGACGAUGAUGUAGCAAUCUGCCUGUUGGUAUCUGUAGAAACUAUGGCAUCUGAUGACACGGGGUUAGCCUGUCCUGUACUCCAUGCUAAAUUUACUUGAAGUUUUCAUCAAUUCAUGCACUUUACAAUUACAUCCUCAUGUAUUGCUCUCAUAAACCCUUACAAUCUCAUGGCAGUUUGGUGUACACUGGUCUACCUAAUCACAGAUAUUGCACAUGCUCACAUGCUAACCUAAACAGGGUCCAGAAAAAUCCACAACUGCCGCCACAGUAAGUCAAGAAAUGGCUGUUUCAUUGAAACUGUCAAGCGUGCACAUGACCAUGUAUGAACAAGCCUUAAACUCACUCAUUCAAUCUCAAUUUAGUUUCCAAAUGAACAAGUGCAUGUUACUUAGUCUGAGCACAAAGACCGAACAUUUGGUGACAGAACUGCACCGAUAUUACAACUCUCAAGAGUCCACAUUUUUGGCAUUGGACCAUUUUGUAAAAUGUAAUCCAUGCCUUUUCUGCGUGUAGAGUCAAGUUUUUGUGCCCAAAGUAAUGCCAUAUACAAAUGGUGGUUCUUUUUAAAGUGAGUCAUCAGUCUGUUCUGAGCCCUUUCAAAUUCGGCUCUUCAGCCUGGAUGGUGUUUAUUUUUAGUUUCCUUGGCAUGAAACAACUGAGACUACGCGAGUCGAUAGCAAUGACUGUAUUCUCAAAGCUCCCAACUGGAUUUGUGGAAACCCACUUUCAAGUAAUAAAGACGGUACAGGUACAAAGAAAGUGGCGACGUAUGCAAGAGGUACAGACCCUAGGGCUGGAAACUGAAUUCCAGGCAAAUACAUGUACUUGUUGUCGUAAUUAUACCUUUUGAAGUUUCACUGUCUCAACGGUAGUUUACUGAGAAAUGCACACAUGUGGUUCUUCUUUUUUUGCAUACCCAAAUGCAAGUGAUUUGUAUUAACAAGGACCAUGUGCAGAAUCGAAUACUCAGAUGCUAAAUUCACCAACUGCUAGUUUUGUUUUCUUUUUGACAACCAAGUCUAUCUGUGUUAUCAAGCAUCAGCAACUGCGGAUUUUCCCAGAGCCUGCUUAAGUUAUUUAAUUUGACAAAUAUCUACCGUAAAUCGCCUUUCAUUCCAUGGAAAAUUUAUAAAUCCUGAAAACACCCAAACAUCCUCUGUAGAAAAAGGAAGAUCCAAGCUAAACCAGAAAACUCAAAAGUCAGAAACAUGCCCUAAUUAAUUUAUAAAAUUUGUGAAGCUCAUCAAGACCACAUUGAUUAGUGGUACAAUUUCUUAUCGCAAUGAUAUUGAUGUUUACUCUUCUCGAAACAUACGUAUUUCAGCCAUUAAAAUUCAAGACAAAAAUCCUGUGUGAACGAACACAACGUAAUACAUUCCUAGAACUACUGCACAGAGAGUAAUGGCAUAUGUUAUGUGACCUAAUAUUUUCUAUCUAAAGAGUUGUUCAAAAUGAAGACGGUGUUUUCACUCGUGUCUCCUGCAAAACUGAUUCCUUCAUUCUUACAACAGUUGGUAGCAUUUUUUCAUGGUAAUGAACUAAAUGUACCCUACUUUGUACAAAGUGCCUACAUUGCACAAAGCCUUCUAUGUUCAAGACAUUUUUUCAUUGGAGGCCAGACUAGCGCCAGGAUGGCAACAACUCAUGUGCAACUUAAAUUUGCAGUUAUUUUGAUUGCCAAACAUACCAUACACAGAUUUCCAGUCUGCCAAGAUAGGUGUUUCUAUCAUUUGUAAGGUUAACUUUUAAUGCUAGAAAAUUUGCAAAUUCUUUUUUUUAAGUUGUCCUUUAAACAUUUGGUGAGACGACCCCCCCCCCAGAAUAAAUCUGUGCACUUUGCAAAUUACAAGUGUUCGUAAAUUUUUCUAUUCUGCAUUCACUCCCUGGUGAUUUAUUAAGAUGCUUGCAAUUUUGUUUUACAUAUAUGUACGCAAGGUGUAAAUAAUGACAACUGCUAGUUGGAUAAGGACACACUGGACGUAUCCAAAUUAAAUAUUUAAACCUUCGUUGAAUAGCGGGAAAGAAUCUAGGUAUUUCUUGCCUAAUAAUAAACUAAACUAAUUCGCAAAGUUAUGAAGUAAUGCACGUGUAUAUUGUACACCUCAAUUUAUAUCCUAACCUCAAGAUUACCAAUUCAUUGAAAUCCUAUUAAUUAUAAAUAGUCUUCCUUAUCCUACAGAGGAUGAUUAGGUGUUUGGACAUCUGAUAUGCCAGGUGUUUGAUUUGAUGCAUGGAGCGUGAUAGUCUUCAGUCCAAGGCAAUACCAAGUAGCAUGCUUUAUAUUAUCAUUCUAGCAUUCCACCAUUCCCAUACAUGUAGUUCUUCAGCGUUAUUCCAAAUUGUUGCUGUUAGGAUGGUGAUAUCAAAGGGGCGGAGUGAUGUCAUGGCUUAUAAAUAUUUUGGGAUUGACAAAAUUACACUGAAGUGCAUGCAUGACUGACGGACCAUCUAUAAAUCUGUCAGUAACUCUCAAAACGUUUUUGGAUUUCAAAUGCAGACAGAAUUUUUAUACGCCUGUGCUGUCGGAACUUAUACGUAUGUAUUUUGGCUCUGGGUAUUAGUUAACAUGUCAUCUGGACUGCUUCUGUGUAUAAUCUCUUCUGAUAACAAAACACUGGAACACCUUUUGGUGGUGUCAGAUGAAAAAAUACUUUCUACUUUGCAGACAGUGCGAGAUUCGAGUAAGUCUUCUUUAGUUUUUAUAGGACAUAAGACUUCUCAGUUUUCACCCUGUUGUGGGUGGAAGAUUAUGCCCCAUAACAGGUUCAGAUCUUCCCACUGCACCAGGGCACAAGAGGAUCUACUGCUUCAAGAACCACAGGGCAAUGUAACAGCAGCAACAGGAAUGUAUUUAGGCUAUCCUUGGUGACUGACGGAGGACUAUUAAAUUGAGAAGGAACUUGCACUAACUGAGCAAAGACGAGGUUGAAGGUUGUUUUUUCUUCUGUUUUGGAUUCAUUCAACUACUUGGGACACGGAGAAAUGUUGAGAAACUUCAAAGCAAGUUGAGGGAGAGUAGCAUUGUUAAUUUAAGCAAAAUGUAUGCUCACUUUAAUAUAGAACUUAACUGGGGAGCACUUAACUUGAUCAAGGCAUUGACUAGGCCGUGUCUGUGUAUUCACUUUUACAGCUUAGAAUUACACUGGCAUAGUGACAGAGUUGCAAGAGAAUACAAGAGUGGCUGUCCAACAGGAUGGAGUUGACAGAGAGCUGCGGUUCUCAAUAGUGGUUUCGAUCAUUAAAACA